rnacentral:rRNA from 1 species
AGUUUGAUGUUGGCUCAGAUUGAAUUCUGCCUGCAGGGAUUCCACUUAAAAGUCGAGCGGUAGAGAGAAGCUUGCUUCUCUUGAGAGCGGCGGGCGGGUGAGUAAUGCCUAGGAAUCUGCCUGGUAGUGGGGGAUAACGUUCGGAAACGGACGCUAAUACCGCAUACGUCCUACGGGAGAAAGCAGGGGACCUUCGGGCCUUGCGCUAUCAGAUGAGCCUAGGUCGGAUUAGCUAGUUGGUGAGGUAAUGGCUCACCAAGGCGACGAUCCGUAACUGGUCUGAGAGGAUGAUCAGUCACACUGGAACUGAGACACGGUCCAGACUCCUACGGGAGGCAGCAGUGGGGAAUAUUGGACAAUGGGCGAAAGCCUGAUCCAGCCAUGCCGCGUGUGUGAAGAAGGUCUUCGGAUUGUAAAGCACUUUAAGUUGGGAGGAAGGGUUGUAGAUUAAAUACUCUGCAAUUUUGACGUUACCGACAGAAUAAGCACCGGCUAACUCUGUGCCAGCAGCCGCGGUAAUACCAGAGGGUGCAAGCGUUAAUCGGGAAUUACUGGGGCGUAAAGCGCGCGUAAGGUGGUUUUGUUAAAGUUGGAAUGUGAAAAUCCCCCGGGGCUCAACCCUGGGGAACUGGCAUUCAAAAACUGACUGACUAGAGUAUGGUAGAAGGGUGGGUUGGAAUUUUCCUGGUGUAGCCGGUGAAAUUGCGUA